CACACGCUCCCUUAGAUCCACCUACGGGAUGUGCCCUUGAGUUGAGUUCUGCUCUUCUCCCUGUGAGUCCUGCAGUUCCAGCCAGGAAGCAUCCAGCAACUUUCCAGGUUGUACAGUCGGAGGUGCUUGAGUCAUUGGCGUGUGAGAGCAACACACCUGCACGCCAGCCAUUCACGUUCUGUUGGACAACAGUCUGUCUCACUGCAGACUGUCUUUCACCAACAGAGCCAGGCUGGUGUGUGGACAGU